rnacentral:rRNA from 1 species
UACGAAGGGGGCUAGCGUUGCUCGGAAUCACUGGGCGUAAAGCGCACGUAGGCGGGCCGUUAAGUCAGGGGUGAAAUCCUGGAGCUCAACUCCAGAACUGCCUUUGAUACUGGCGAUCUCGAGUUCGGGAGAGGUGAGUGGAACUGCGAGUGUAGAGUUGAAAUUCGUAGAUAUUCGCAAGAACACCAGUGGCGAAGGCGGCUCACUGGCCCGAUACUGACGCUGAAGUGCGAAAGCGUGGGGAGCAAACAGG